ACCCUGGGCUGCCGAAGCAGAGCGUGAGAACUUAACCAUUCGACCACGGGGCCAGGCCCUGGGUCAGUGAAUUCUUAAUCUGUAAAUGGUCCUGGAUGCCAUCAAAGCCAAGGCUUUUAUCUGAGAUAAGGGUACAGAAGCACAGAAUGGACUGGCCUUAUCAUGGCGGAGCCUGCGUGGGAAUCCUUUCCCACUCCCCUCCCAGCCCGGAGCUUCUUCCACCGCCCAAUGAAGGGCCAGCCCUGAGUCCUUGUUUGGCAUCAAAUGAGCGAACUCUGAGUGCAGAUUCAGCAAGUCCUUUGUGGCUUCAGCUGUCAAUGACCUGGAGCCAUGCUGAGAGGAGGAACAAGGAUUCUACCACUCUCCACAGCAGCGCAGUCAGAGCCAGCUGUCAUUUCUGCUGAGCGUUCCAGCACGCGUUACUGAUGGCCUUUGGUCCAGGGUGCUGAUCUGGGGCAUGGUGUUUCCUGAUCGGCAGACGCUUGUCUUCGUUUGGACAUAGAGAAGAUCCCUGGGAGAAAUGUGGAUUGCGGAGCAACCCAUAGAAGAACUGGACAUCCUGCCUUUCCUCUGACAAUAUGUGGCGUGGUCUGUCCUCUUCAAAGUGACAAACUGAGAAAAGCGAUCGGCUGAUUGUGACAUGGAGAACACCUUACAUUUUUACCUGCUAUAUCCAAUGGCACAUAUUUUGUGUGUUUGUUUCAAUAAAUCCUAAAUUACAAGGGGCGUUUCCUCCUGA
rnacentral:lncRNA from 1 species